rnacentral:misc_RNA from 1 species
GGGCGGCACCAACGGCAACGGCAGCAGCAGCGGAUGAUCGGAAACGGAAAGGGAGAGAAAUGGAGGACGAAGGUCAGAAUGAGGAUGCUGAAUUUGAGUCUCCUGAUACGAAAAAGCAAGCACGCGGUUCAACAUCCACAAAGAGAUCUCGUGCUGCGGAGGUCCAUAAUCUUUCAGAAAGGAGACGUAGAGACAGAAUAAAUGAGAAGAUGA